AACAGUCAAAAAUUAUAGAUUGAUGUACCUAAUUAAUGCCCAGUCAGAUCAUACUGUAAACCGUCUUAUCAUCAGAGUACCUUUCAAUUUUCUUUUGACGAUUCAGCUUUUAGGAAAGUUUAUCCUUUCAAAAACCAUUUCUCCUACUUUCCUUUACUUUCCUUUCAUUUCUCUGUUUCCCCUCUGUUAUCAAUCUGGUUCUCGUCUCUGAUCCAUUCUUUGUUGAAUUUCAACAUACACCGGAACCCCCAUUUCCAGUUAAUGCGGAAGAUACCCCGUGGUUGAUCUCUGAGUAGGAAAGAAGGACAAGCCUUUCCUCGUCUCUGACCACAACCCCUGAGGCAGAUUUAUGCCCAUUAGGUUCAACAAUAUAGUUGUUGAUGAAGUCUGCUAUUUGUUGCCCUAUAAAAAAUAGAUCAAAAAUCCAGGUAAUCCACUAUAAAAAAUCCAUGUUAGGAACCAGAAUCAAAUUUUGAAUUUUUAAUAGUGACCACUUCCACUGUGACAGGAUAUUUGCGAAAAAUAUGGUCGAUUGUUUCAGCACUUUCACCGCACCGAGGGCAGUUUGUGUUACUGACGAGCUAAUGCUACUGCAUAUUAACCCUUGUCGAAAAAUAAUUCCAUAAGAUUCUCCAUAUUGUAACCUUAAUUUUGCUUGGUAGAUUAAGGAGCCAUAGUUUUUUGUAAAAGUUCAUAUAGCCUGUUUGUAAAGUGUAAGCUCUAGGAAUUUCCUCCAAAGCUUGUAAUAGUUUAUUGUAAUAGUUUAUAGGCACUGCGAAUCGAAAACUCACCUGAAUACUCACCUUCCCAGACCAAGAAAUCAUCGUGAGGUGUGCGUGCUAAAGGGAUACGAAGGAUUUUUCUAGCAUCAUCUGCGGAAAAUUUAUUGUUUAUGAAA